rnacentral:tRNA from 1 species
GAAGGUCUAGCUCAGUGGCAGAGCGCGUGCCUAGCAUGCACAAGGUAGGGGGUUCAAUCCCCAGUGCCUCU